rnacentral:rRNA from 1 species
GACGAACGCUGGCGGCGUGCUUAACACAUGCAAGUCGAACGGAAAGGCCCUGCUUGCAGGGUACUCGAGUGGCGAACGGGUGAGUAACACGUGGGUGAUCUGCCCUGCACUUCGGGAUAAGCCUGGGAAACUGGGUCUAAUCCCGGAUAGUCGCCAUUUUUAGUGUGAUGGUUGGAAAGUUUUUUCGGUGUAGGAUGAGCUCGCGGCCUAUCAGCUUGUUGGUGGGGUAAUGGCCUACCAAGGCGGCGACGGGUAGCCGGCCUGAGAGGGUGGACGGCCACAUUGGGACUGAGAGACGGCCCAGACGCCUACGGGAGGCAGCAGUGGGGAAGAUUGAACAAUGGGCGCAAGCCUGAUGCAGCGACGCCGCGUGGGGGAUGACGGCCUUCGGGUUGUAAACUCCUUUCGCUAGGGACGAAGCUUUUUGUGACGGUACCUAGAUAAGAAGCACCGGCUAACUACGUG